GGUCUAAUAGUGUAGUGGUUAUCACAAUGGAUUCUGAAAAAUUACUAUUCUGAAAUUCCAUUAACCCAGGUUCGAGUCCUGGUUAGACCU